rnacentral:rRNA from 1 species
GACGAACGCUGGCGGCGUGCUUAACACAUGCAAGUCGAGCGGAGCGGCGAACGGGUGAGUAACGCGGGAGUAACUGCCCCCCUCUCUGGGAUAACAGUUGGAAACGGCUGCUAAUACCGGAUAGUGGGGGAUGACUCGCGUCCUAGCAGCUUGUUGGUGGGGUAGUGGCCUACCAAGGGGACGACGGGUAGCGGGCCUGAGAGGGGGACCGGCCACGUGGGCCUGUGAUACGGCCCAAACUCGUACGGGAGGCAGCAGUGGGGAAUAUUGCACAAUGGUGGAAACCCUGAUGCAGCAACGCGCGUGCGGGAUGACGACCUUCGGGUUGUAAACCGCUUUCUGCCAUGACGCGGUAGUGGCAGAAGAAGCACCGGCUAACUACGUGCCAGCAGCCGCGGUAAUUC